rnacentral:rRNA from 1 species
ACCCGCACAAGCGGUGGAUGAUGUGGAUUAAUUCGAUGCAACGCGAAAAACCUUACCUACCCUUGACAUGUCCGGAAUCCCGAAGAGAUUUGGGAGUGCUCGCAAGAGAACCGGAACACAGGUGCUGCAUGGCUGUCGUCAGCUCGUGUCGUGAGAUGUUGGGUUAAGUCCCGCAACGAGCGCAACCCUUGUCCUUAGUUGCCAGCAUUCAGUUGGGCACUCUAAGGAGACUGCCGGUGUCAAACCGGAGGAAGGUGGGGAUGACGUCAAGUCCUCAUGGCCCUUAUGUCCAGGGCUACACACGUGCUACAAUGGCCGGUACAAAGGGGCGCAAGACCGCGAGGUGGAGCAAAUCCCAAAAAACCGGUCUCAGUUCGGAUUGGAGUCUGCAACUCGACUCCAUGAAGUUGGAAUCGCUAGUAAUCGCGUAUCAGCAUGACCGCGGUCGAAUACGUUCCGGCCUU